rnacentral:rRNA from 1 species
UUUAAUUAUGUUUUUGUUAAAUUAAAUUAAGUAUUAAAUGUUAAAUCAUUAAAUUAAGAAAAUUUGGCGGUAUUUUAUAUAAUUAGAGGAAUUUGUUGUGUAAUUGAUAGUACACGAUAAGAGAUACUUUAUAGGUAAGGUUUACGUAUUGCUGUUUAUAAUAAUUUAUUAAGUAACUUUUAAAAAAUUAAUUUAAGUUUUAAUUCAAGUCAAAGUGUAGUUUUGUAAAGAAUUAAAUGAAUUACAAUUAUAUAAAUAGUUGAUUAUUAUAUUUAAUUAUAAUAUGAGAUUGGAUUUAAAAGUAAAAUUUAAUAAAUUAAUUAAUUUGAAUAUUUUUUAAAAUAUGU